rnacentral:Y_RNA from 1 species
GGCUGGCCCCAGUGCAGUGGUGUUUACAACUAAUUGAUCACAACCAGUUACAAAUUUCUUUGUUCCUUUUCCAUGCCUACUGCUUCAUUUGACUGUUUUUA